rnacentral:lncRNA from 1 species
CAAUUAGGGUCUCAACUACGCAAUCACAUACUUUAAUAAAUGAUAAUAAGAUUUGGACGAAGGAAGAAAGGGUUGAAUGCUCAAAUAAAACAUUACUUCCAAUGCUAUCAGACAAAAGGGACAACGGUUGCAGUCUCAUAUCGGUCAUAUGGCUUGUAAACUUGUAAUGACCCUCGAUCGGUAGCGAAUUCGUGAUGCAGUAUGCCAGGACUACCAUGCGUCAUAUUUGAUUUUAGUAAUCAUGUGGGCUUGGAUGAAAUGAAAAAGCCUGCAAUGCACGCAUGGUCGCGCAAGCUGCUUCAUGGCCGGACCGGUCCACCAGCUCACUCUGGUCCAUGUAAUAAUUAGUCGUCGAGGAGAGGAGCUCCGGGUCAUGGCUCCAGCGUGUACUGUAUUCCGACUCGGAUCAAAGGCUGACUUCCGCCUACUGAAGGAGGAAUUAUUAGGUAGAAUGAGCCUGGCAGGUGUGAUUAUAGGCAAAGACAAUGA